rnacentral:rRNA from 1 species
CUACACCGUAUUCUGUGAGUUGCGAACGGGUGAGUAACGCGUAGGUAACCUGCCUGGUAGCGGGGGAUAACUAUUGGAAACGAUAGCUAAUACCGCAUAAGAACAUUUACUGCAUGGUAGAUGUUUAAAAGGUGCAAAAGCAUCACUACCAGAUGGACCUGCGUUGUAUUAGCUAGUUGGUGAGGUAACGGCUCACCAAGGCAACGAUACAUAGCCGACCUGAGAGGGUGAUCGGCCACACUGGGACUGAGACACGGCCCAGACUCCUACGGGAGGCAGCAGUAGGGAAUCUUCGGCAAUGGGGGGAACCCUGACCGAGCAACGCCGCGUGAGUGAAGAAGGUUUUCGGAUCGUAAAGCUCUGUUGUUAAGGAAGAACGUGUGUGAGAGUGGAAAGUUCACACAGUGACGGUACUUAACCAGAAAGGGACGGCUAACUACGUGCCAGCAGCCGCGGUAAUACGUAGGUCCCGAGCGUUGUCCGGAUUUAUUGGGCGUAAAGCGAGCGCAGGCGGUUAGAUAAGUCUGAAGUGAAAGGCAGUGGCUCAACCAUUGUAGGCUUUGGAAACUGUUUAACUUGAGUGCAGAAGGGGAGAGUGGAAUUCCAUGUGUAGCGGUGAAAUGCGUAGAUAUAUGGAGGAACACCGGUGGCGAAAGCGGCUCUCUGGUCUGUAACUGACGCUGAGGCUCGAAAGCGUGGGGAGCGAACAGGAUUAGAUACCCUGGUAGUCCACGCCGUAAACGAUGAGUGCUAGGUGUUAGGUCCUUUCCGG